rnacentral:rRNA from 1 species
GGGAAUCUCCGCAAUGGACGAAAGUCUGACGGGCAACGCCGCGUGAGUGAUGAAGGUUUUCGGAUCGUAAAACUCUGUUGUUAGGGAAGAACAAGUACCGUUCGAAUAGGGCGGCACCUUGACGGUACCUAACCAGAAAGCCACGGCUAACUACGUGCCAGCAGCCGCGGUAAUACGUAGGUGGCAAGCGUUGUCCGGAAUUAUUGGGCGUAAAGCGCGCGCAGGCGGUUUCUUAAGUCUGAUGUGAAAGCCCCCGGCUCAACCGGGGAGGGUCAUUGGAAACUGGGGAACUUGAGUGCAGAAGAGGAGAGUGGAAUUCCACGUGUAGCGGUGAAAUGCGUAGAGAUGUGGAGGAACACCAGUGGCGAAGGCGACUCUCUGGUCUGUAACUGACGCUGAGGCGCGAAAGCGUGGGGAGCGAACAGGAUUAGAURCCCUGGUAGUCCACGCCGUAAACGAUGAGUGCUAAGUGUUAGAGGGUUUCCGCCCUUUAGUGCUGCAGCAAACGCAUUAAGCACUCCGCCUGGGGAGUACGGUCGCAAGACUGAAACUCAAAGGAAUUGACGGGGGCCCGCMCAAGCGGUGGAGCAUGUGGUUUAAUUCGAAGCAACGCGAAGAACCUUACCAGGUCUUGACAUCYUCUGACAACCCUAGAGAUAGGGCUUCCCCUUCGGGGGCAGAGUGACAGGUGGUGCAUGGUUGUCGUCAGCUCGUGUCGUGAGAUGUUGGGUUAAGUCCCGCAACGAGCGCAACCCUUGAUCUUAGUUGCCAGCAUUCAGUUGGGCACUCUAAGGUGACUGCCGGUGACAAACCGGAGGAAGGUGGGGAUGACGUCAAAUCAUCAUGCCCCUUAUGACCUGGGCUACACACGUGCUACAAUGGGCAGAACAAAGGGCAGCGAAGCCGCGAGGCUAAGCCAAUCCCACAAAUCUGUUCUCAGUUCGGAUCGCAGUCUGCAACUCGACUGCGUGAAGCUGGAAUCGCUAGUAAUCGCGGAUCAGCAUGCCGCGWKUGGUGCUGCUWUG